CGCGUAGGCGGUUUGUCAAGUUAGAUGUGAAAUGUCAGGGCUUAACCUUGGCGCUGCAUCUAAGACUGACAGACUAGAGUUUAGUAGAGGGCAGUGGAAUUUCCGGUGUAGCGGUGAAAUGCGUAGAUAUCGGAAGGAACAUCAGUGGCGAAGGCGACUGUCUGGACUGAAACUGACGCUGAGGCGCGAAAGCGUGGGGAGCAAACA
rnacentral:rRNA from 1 species